UUGAGUCGAUUCUGAGGAAAAGGAAAAGUUUUUAAAUUGAGCAAUGGAGAUAGACAAUGACUCUGGCAGAACUCACUUAUGAGAACGAUGACGUAUGGGUUUCUGAUGGUGAAUUGAUUCAUUGAUUGUAUAAAGUUUGAUUUCGAUGAUGUUUGUAUAGUGUUUGCAGUGAUAGAUGUUGCGGUGGGCUCUGUGUCGCAAGCUAAUUUCUAGGCGUGUCACUAACUCGACUGCACACAACUACAAAAAAUUUACCACCUAAUUGUACAAUGGAUGGAGUAUAACUAAAUCAAACGGCCUAAGCUAUCAAGGUUACAUAAAUUCAAGCAUCCUAAAGAAUCAGAGGAUUUGGAGUUUAUCUUGAUCGAGUGGAGUUUCAUGAUGCGUAGAAGAAGACAUUGGUGA